rnacentral:lncRNA from 1 species
CUCAGGUCCUUGCUGGCUGUUGGCCAGAGGCCUCAGUUCCUUGCCACAAGGGCCUCCCCAUAGGUUACUCACAACAUAACAGUUUGCAGCCCCCAGAACAAGGACCCCAGAGACAGAGUGAGAGAGGGCAAGAGAAGGCAAGAUGCAAGUCACACUCUUUUUGUAACCUAAUCCCAUCACAUUUCCUGAAUUCUGCUCAUUAGAAAGAAGUCACUAGAUUCAGCCCACAUUCAAGAUGAGAAAUACCAGAAGGCAGAGAACACUGAGGCUGUUUUAGAGGCUGUCAACCCCAGGGAGACAGACAGCAAAUAAGUAAGCAAAUAAAUAAAAAUGGAAGGUGAUAAUAAGUGCAAUGAAAAGAAAUGAAGCAGAGUAAAGAAUCAAGAGUAGCAGUUGAGGGGAUGCUUGGAUGUUUUCACACCACUCUGACACAUGGAUGGAAGGUUAGAAGACAACAAAGGAAUGGGCUGGGAAGGACUCCAAAAGCAGAAUCAGAGAUUAUAUCAUUCCUUGGAAAUGGAGAAAAGGAUCAAAAAAGCUGAAUAAAAGGCAAACAUGGAGGAACAGAGUUUGGAGCAAUACCCUGACUUACAUUCAGUACUGUUAAUGGCUCCAGCAUCUUGAAACAAACCAAUUUUGGAUUUUCAGGUCAUCUCAAUACUGUCUUAACACAUCUGAUCUGAGGUGUAGACCAUUCAAAAGGCAAAGUGAGCAGUCUAUUCUCACUCCUGGAUUCUUCAUUAAAAUAUUAUAUUCCCAGCAUUUCUGUGUCAAAAGG